CAACUUCUGAUCUCAAAUCAGGUAGGACUACCCGCUGAACUUAAGCAUAUCAAUAAGCGGAGGAAAAGAAACUAACAAGGAUUCCCCUAGUAACUGCGAGUGAGCGGGAAAAGCUCAAAUUUAAAAUCUGGCAGUCUUUGAUUGUCCGAGUUGUAUUCUAGAGAAGUGUUUUCCGCGUUGGACCGUGUACAAGUCUCUUGGAACAGAGCGUCAUAGAGGGUGAGAAUCCCGUCUUUGACACGGACUACCAAUGCUUUGUGAUGCGCUCUCAAAGAGUCGAGUUGUUUGGGAAUGCAGCUCAAAAUGGGUGGUAAAUUCCAUCUAAAGCUAAAUAUUGGCGAGAGACCGAUAGCGAACAAGUACCGUGAGGGAAAGAUGAAAAGCACUUUGGAAAGAGAGUUAAACAGUACGUGAAAUUGUUGAAAGGGAAACGCUUGAAGUCAGUCGCGUUAGUCAGAACUCAGCCUUGCUUUUGCUUGGUGCACUUUCUGAUUGACGGGCCAGCAUCAGUUUUGACUGCAGGAGAAAGGUCAGAGGAAUGUGGCAUCUUCGGAUGUGUUAUAGCCUCUGAUUGUAUACUGUGAUUGGGACUGAGGAACUCAGCACGCGCAAGCUGUGCUUAGGAUGCUGGCGUAAUGGCUUUAAACGACCCGUCUUGAAACACGGACCAAGGAGUCUAACAUGCCUGCGAGUAUUUGGGUGGUAAACCCGAGUGCGCAAUGAAAGUGAAAGUUGGGAUCUCUGUCGUGGAGAGCACCGACGCCCGGACCAGACCUUCUGUGACGGAUCUGCGGUAGAGCAUGUAUGUUGGGACCCGAAAGAUGGUGAACUAUGCCUGAAUAGGGUGAAGCCAGAGGAAACUCUGGUGGAGGCUCGUAGCGAUUCUGACGUGCAAAUCGAUCGUCAAAUUUGG
rnacentral:rRNA from 1 species